UUCACUUAAUGCCCUUGAUACCAAAAUCCUUGAAUAUGUUCCCUCUAAGCUGUGUGCGUGUGCGCGAGCACACACAUUUUCAACCAGCGCACAAAGGAAAUUAAUGUGUGCACAAAAGCUGCAUUAGCCAGGUUGCAUCAUCGAGUGUCAUGAAAAAGGGACAGCUUCAAUUUUAAACUACUAUUUUGAGCGGGGGUCGGCAACCCGCGGCUCUGGAGCCACAUGUGGCUCUUUUACGUCUGUGCUGCGGCUCCCUGUUGCUUUGGGAAAUAAUUGGUUGACAGCUGGCUGACGUUAUUUUUGGUUUGCUGCUGGCUG